GCUAAAACAACGCUUGCCGUACGAACAUCGAAGUUAAGCAAUGUUGAGCCUGGUCAGAAUCUAGAUGGGGGACCGCUUGGGAAUACUAGGUGCUGUAAG